rnacentral:misc_RNA from 1 species
AGCCAUGUCAAUCUUCAGUUCGUUGAUGAUAUCCCACUCUGAUUCUCCCAUGUGCUGAUGUGGAUUUUGGCGACGGAAAUUCUGAUGCUCAGAAACCCGAUUCCAAUGUGGCUGAGGAGGUGCCUCUGGAGGUGGAGUCAUAGAAAAUGGAUUUCCCUCCAUAUUCAUCUGAGGCCCUUCUUGAUUAACAUUCUCCUGCUGCUGCUCCUGCUCUGCAUCAGAGGGGUAUGAGGAUGUUCCAUCCAUAUCCCAGUCAAAAGAAGCAUUACCUUGUCUUUCGACAUAAGAUUGUAUCAGCUGGUUUAGACUUUCACGGAAACUGCUACGAAGCAGAUUAGAGACUCGCCUCCUGCUUAGCAGUUCUCGAAGUUCGAUGCUAUAAACAUUGUCAUCAUCUGGUAUAUAAAAUGAAUCAACCCUUCCAAUGGACCCAUCAACCUGACCGGAAGGCGUGUCGGACCAGUCAUCAUUUGCCUCUUCAUGCCACUCAUCAUCAUGUGGUUCUUGCGUAUGGUUUUGUUCUUCAAUGCCACCAUCCAAACUUUCUGGAUAAGAUUGGUUAGGAGUCCCUUCCUGCGAAUCUCCGCCCAUGUUUUCUGUCGCGUCAUCUAUCCAUUCAUUCUGAUCAGCAUACAAAUGCUGUGACUCACUUUCCUCAUGUUCUGUUACAAAUUCCUCCAGCUCUUCCGCUUGCUCCAAAUCACUUCCUUCAGGUUCCAGAAUAUAUUCCUGUAGCUCCUCUGCCUGAGCUGAUGAACCUUCCCAGUCAUAAUCUUCAAAGAUAUUUCUAUCCAAAUCACUUCCUUCAGGUUCCAGAAUAUAUUCCUGUAGCUCCUCUGCCUGAGCUGAUGAACCUUCCCAGUCAUAAUCUUCAAAGAUAUUUCUA